GACGAACCGAGCGAACGUUGUUCGGAAUCACUGGGCUUAAAGGGCGCGUAGGCGGGCAUUCAAGUCUGUGGUGAAAUCCGGCAGCUCAACUGUCGAACUGCCAUGGAUACUGGGUGUCUCGAGGGAGGUAGGGGCGUGCGGAACUAUUGGUGGAGCGGUGAAAUGCGUUGAUAUCAAUAGGAACUCCGGUGGCGAAGGCGGCACGCGGGACCUCUUCUGACGCUGAGGCGCGAAAGCCAGGGGAGCAAACGGG
rnacentral:rRNA from 1 species